UGAUGACUUCGAAGAGAUCCUCCACCU
rnacentral:piRNA from 2 species